rnacentral:rRNA from 1 species
ACCUUUUGUAUAAUGGGUCAGCGAGUUACUUUCAGUGGCGAGGUUAACUGAAUAAGGGAGCCGUAGAGAAAUCGAGUCUGAAUAGGGCGAUAGUCGCUGGGAGUAGACCCGAAACCGGGCGAUCUAGCCAUGUGCAGGAUGAAGGUUGGGUAACACCAACUGGAGGUCCGAACCGGGUAAUGUUGAAAAAUUAUCGGAUGACGUGUGGCUAGGAGUGAAAGGCUAAUCAAGCCCGGAGAUAGCUGGUUCUCCCCGAAAGCUAUUUAGGUAGCGCCUCGUGAAUGAUUACUGGGGGUAGAGCACUGUUUCGGCUAGGGGGCUGUCAUGGCUUACCAAACCGAUGCAAACUCCGAAUACCGGCUAAUUGAAUCACGGGAGACACACGGCGGGUGCUAACGUCCGUCGUGGAGAGGGAAACAACCCAGACCGCCAGCUAAGGUCCCCAAGUACUAGUUAAGUGGGAAACGAUGUGGGAAGGCAUAGACAGCCAGGAGGUUGGCUUAGAAGCAGCCACCCUUUAAAGAAAGCGUAAUAGCUCACUGGUCGAGUCGGCCUGCGCGGAAGAUGUAACGGGGCUAAAACUAGUCACCGAAGCUGCGGAUGUGCGCGAAGGCGCACGUGGUAGGGGAGCGUUCUGUAAGCUGAUGAAGGUGCAUUGAGAAGUGUGCUGGAGGUAUCAGAAGUGCGAAUGCUGACAUGAGUAACGAUAAUGUGGGUGAAAAGCCCACACGCCGGAAGUCCCAGGUUUCCUGCACGACGUUAAUCGGAGCAGGGUGAGUCGGCCCCUAAGGCGAGGCUGAAGAGCGUAGUCGAUGGGAACCAGGUUAAUAUUCCUGGACUUUUUAUAAGUGGUGAAGUGGGGACGAAGAAGGCUAGGUGAGCCAGGCGUUGGUUGUCCUGGUACUUGCAUGUAGGGGGGAAGACUUGGAAAAUCCGGUUUUCCAUAACUCUGAGGUGCGAAGUGGUUCUGACCUUUUGGUACAGAGAAGUCAUUGAUGCCCGGCUUCCAGGAAAAGCUGCUAGCCAUAACUUAUAGAGAACCGUACCGCAAACCGACACAGGUGGACAGGUAGAGAAUACUAAGGCGCUUGAGAGAACUCGGGUGAAGGAACUAGGCAAAAUGGUACCGUAACUUCGGGAGAAGGUACGCCCUUUCUGGUGAUGGGAUUUACUUUCAGAGCUG